AAUGAACGUUGGCGGCGUGGUUUAGGCAUGCAAGUCGAGCGUGAUAGGUUUGGUGCUUGCAUUAAACCUUGAAAGCGGCGAAAGGGACAGUAACGCGUAGAUACCUACCUCCAGGUCCGGGAUAGCGGCGGGAAACUGCCGGUAAUACCGGAUAAUGUCUUCGGACCAAAGGUGUGAUUCCGCUUGGAGACGGAUCUGCGUCCUAUUAGCUAGUGGGUGGGGUAAUGGCCCACCAAGGCGAUGAUGGGUAGCGGGCGUGAGAGCGUGGCCCGCGUCACUGGGACUGAGACACUGCCCAGACACCUACGGGUGGCUGCAGUCGAGAAUCUUCGGCAAUGGGCGCAAGCCUGACCGAGCGACGCCGCGUGCGGGAUGAAGGCCUUCGGGUUGUAAACCGCUGUCGGAGAGGCGGAAAUCUCUAGGGGUUCUCCCCUAGAGUUGACCUAAUCUCGGAGGAAGUCCGGGCUAAGUUCGUGCCAGCAGCCGCGGUAACAC
rnacentral:rRNA from 1 species